UACAGAGGGGGCAAGCGUUGUUCGGAAUUACUGGGCGUAAAGGGCGCGUAGGCGGCACUGUUAGUCAGGCGUGAAAUUCCUGGGCUCAACCUGGGGACUGCGCUUGAUACGGCAGAGCUAGAGGAUGGAAGAGGCUCGCGGAAUUCCCAGUGUAGAGGUGAAAUUCGUAGAUAUUGGGAAGAACACCGGUGGCGAAGGCGGCGAGCUGGUCCAUUACUGACGCUGAGGCGCGACAGCGUGGGGAGCAAACAGG
rnacentral:rRNA from 1 species